rnacentral:rRNA from 1 species
UACGUAGGGGGCAAGCGUUGUCCGGAAUUAUUGGGCGUAAAGCGCGCGCAGGCGGUUCUUUAAGUCUGAUGUGAAAUCUUGCGGCUCAACCGCAAGCGGUCAUUGGAAACUGGAGAACUUGAGGACAGAAGAGGAGAGCGGAAUUCCACGUGUAGCGGUGAAAUGCGUAGAUAUGUGGAGGAACACCAGUGGCGAAGGCGACUCUCUGGUCUGUAACUGACGCUGAGGUGCGAAAGCGUGGGUAGCGAACAGG